rnacentral:rRNA from 1 species
CCUACGGGCGGCAGCAGUGGGGAAUAUUGGACAAUGGGGGUAACCCUGAUCCAGCCAUGCCGCGUGUGUGAAGAAGGCCCUCGGGUUGUAAAGCACUUUCAGUGAGGAAGAACGCCUGGUGGUUAAUACCCAUCAGGAAAGACAUCACUCACAGAAGAAGCACCGGCUAACUCCGUGCCAGCAGCCGCGGUAAUACGGAGGGUGCGAGCGUUAAUCGGAAUUACUGGGCGUAAAGCGCGCGUAGGUGGCUUGAUAAGCCGGUUGUGAAAGCCCCGGGCUCAACCUGGGAACGGCAUCCGGAACUGUCAAGCUAGAGUGCAGGAGAGGAAGGUAGAAUUCCCGGUGUAGCAGUGAAAUGCGUAGAGAUCGGGAGGAAUACCAGUGGCGAAGGCGGCCUUCUGGACUGACACUGACACUGAGGUGCGAAAGCGUGGGUAGCAAACAGGAUUAGAUACCCUUGUAGUC